rnacentral:rRNA from 1 species
UUACCUGGCCUUGACAUACUAAGAACUUUCCAGAGAUUGGAUUGGUGCCUUCGGGAACUUAGAUACAGGUGCUGCAUGGCUGUCGUCAGCUCGUGUCGUGAGAUGUUGGGUUAAGUCCCGCAACGAGCGCAACCCUUUUCCUUAUUUGCCAGCGGGUUAAGCCGGGAACUUUAAGGAUACUGCCAGUGACAAACUGGAGGAAGGCGGGGACGACGUCAAGUCAUCAUGGCCCUUACGGCCAGGGCUACACACGUGCUACAAUGGUCGGUACAAAGGGUUGCUACCUCGCGAGAGGAUGCUAAUCUCAAAAAGCCGAUCGUAGUCCGGAUCGCAGUCUGCAACUCGACUGCGUGAAGUCGGAAUCGCUAGUAAUCGCGGAUCAGAAUGCCGCGGUGAAUACGUUCCCGGGCCUUGUACACACCGCCCGUCACACCAUGGGAGUUUGUUGCACCAGAAGUAGGUAGUCUAACCGCAAGGAGGACGCUUACCACGGUGUGGCCGAUGACUGGGGUGAAGUCGUAACAAGGUAGGCGUAGAUGA